UUGCUUCUCAGGCAGGGGUGAUACCAUGACCAACAGGUUUUUCCCAGAGUGAGGUCUGCCUAUUCCACUUCAGGCAGGCUUACCCUUGCAUGUUUCCAAAAUGGGGGAAACUCGGCUGCACAGUUUUGUGGUAAUGGGGUACUGUAUUUAUGCUUUUCCCCU
rnacentral:snRNA from 1 species